AGCGAAACCGCGAGGUGGAGCAAAACUAUAAAAGACGAUCUCAGUUCGGACUGCAGGCUGCAACUCGCCUGCACGAAGUUGGAAUUGCUAGUAAUCGUGGAUCAGCAUGCCACGGUGAAUACGUUCCCGGGUCCUGUACACACCGCCCGUCACACCAUGGGAGCCGGUAAUACCCGAAGUCAGUAGUCUAACCGCAAGGAGGACGCUGCCGAAGGUAGGAUUGGCGACUGGGGUGAAGUCGUAACAAGGUAUC
rnacentral:rRNA from 1 species